UACGGGGGGGCAAGCGUUGUUCGGAAUUACUGGGCGUAAAGGGCUCGUAGGCGGCCAACUAAGUCGGAUGUGAAAUCCCCAGGCUCAACCUGGGAACUGCAUCCGAUACUGGAUGGCUUGAAUUCGGGAGAGGGAUGCAGAAUUCCAGGUGUAGCGGUGAAAUGCGUAGAUAUCGGGAGGAACACCAGUGGCGAAGGCGACUUCCUGGCCUGUUCUUGACGCUGAGGCGCGAAAGCUAGGGGAGCAAACGGG
rnacentral:rRNA from 1 species